CUCGCUAUCCCCUCGUCACUCCGACUGAGUUGCACGCUUCAACCGGGUCCUGCAAGGAUUCUCAGGAUCUGGAGUAGCUUGCCAAGAGUCUGCUGCUGGUUUAACCUUAGAAUGAUGAAUCCAAAGAGUCACUUCCGCCACCUUUACAGCUGUUGGGGUAGAUAAAAGAACAACAUACAAAGGCUAACAGAAUACACCCCGAGCUUUAACUCAUUAUGUAUUGGUGGGAUAUUACGAGCAAGUCCUGGAGGAUUAUUUUCUUCCCAUACUCCUGGAAUGUCAAAUAAGGAUUCAUCACUCUUAGGGUUAACACUUGUCACUAUGGAAUAGAAGCGUCAUUCUUCUUCCCUCGGCACCGAUAUCACCAUUAUGCCUGGUAAUCCCUUAAACUUCAGAGAUGUUAAUCCAUUAGGUAAAAGGUUAUCU
rnacentral:lncRNA from 1 species